AUACGAAGGGGGCUAGCGUUGUUCGGAUUUACUGGGCGUAAAGCGCGCGUAGGCGGGCUGGUAAGUUGGGGGUGAAAUCCCAGGGCUCAACCCUGGAACUGCCCUCAAUACUGCCAGUCUUGAGUUCGAGAGAGGUAAGUGGAAUUCCUAGUGUAGAGGUGAAAUUCGUAGAUAUUAGGAAGAACACCAGUGGCGAAGGCGGCUUACUGGCUCGAUACUGACGCUGAGGCGCGAAAGCGUGGGGAGCAAACAGGAUUAGAAACCCUGGUAGUCC
rnacentral:rRNA from 1 species